GAGAUAAAAAGCUUUUAUGGCGCAUGAUGACUUGUGUCAUCAUGCACAAUAUGACCAUAUAAGACCGAACGAGGUCAGCCAUAGGACUUUUGGUAUGAGAAUGAGGGAAAGAAAAUUUAUAUAGUCUUGUGAACCCAAGCAGGGUUGACCAUUCUCUUCAGAGAUUGUUUUCCAAGUGCAUCGAUAGAUAGAAGACUCCACAGGGCACGAACAACUUUAUAUGAUGACCUUGUGAAGCACGUGUGGGACCUACAUAGGCGUUGAAUCUCCUCAUGUUUACUUUGAAUGCAUUUCGACCAUUAAUUAUGUGUGAAUUUAAAUUUCCAUAAUUCUGGAUUUCAAAUAAGGAUGAAUCAUACUCCCUCCUUCCUAUUAUGUAGGGUGUCUAUGCUUUCGGUAAGGAAAUUAGCACAUGGCUUCCCGCAAAUAAUUGGCCAUUGUUAGAAACUGUUUCUUCCAUGAUAUCAUUUACAAACAUGGUUGGCUAAUCCACCAUUAGCUAUGGUUAGUUUACUCUGACCAUACAAGAGAG
rnacentral:lncRNA from 1 species